rnacentral:rRNA from 1 species
ACGGGUGCGUAACGCGUGGGAAUCUGCCCUUGGGUUCGGAAUAACAGUUAGAAAUGACUGCUAAUACCGGAUGAUGUCUUCGGACCAAAGAUUUAUCGCCCAAGGAUGAGCCCGCGUAAGAUUAGCUAGUUGGUGGGGUAAUGGCCCACCAAGGCGACGAUCUUUAGCUGGUCUGAGAGGAUGAUCAGCCACACUGGGACUGAGACACGGCCCAGACUCCUACGGGAGGCAGCAGUGGGGAAUAUUGGACAAUGGGCGAAAGCCUGAUCCAGCAAUGCCGCGUGAGUGAUGAAGGCCUUAGGGUUGUAAAGCUCUUUUACCAGGGAUGAUAAUGACAGUACCUGGAGAAUAAGCUCCGGCUAACUCCGUGCCAGCAGCCGCGGUAAUACGGAGGGAGCUAGCGUUGUUCGGAAUUACUGGGCGUAAAGCGUACGUAGGCGGUUACUCAAGUCAGAGGUGAAAGCCCGGGGCUCAACCCCGGAACUGCCUUUGAGACUAGGUAGCUAGAGUCUUGGAGAGGUUAGUGGAAUUCCGAGUGUAGAGGUGAAAUUCGUAGA